rnacentral:rRNA from 1 species
GACGAACGCUGGCGGCGUGCCUAAUACAUGCAAGUCGAGCGAACAGACCACUAUCUUGCUCUUCUGACGUUACCAGCGGACGGGUGAGUAACACGUGGAUAACCUACCUCUUUGACUGAGAUUACUUCGGGAAACCGUAGCUAAUACCGGAUAAUAUAUUUAACCGCAUGGUUCAAUAGUGAUACACGGUUUUGCUGUCACUUAUCGAUGUAUCCGCGCCGCAUUAGCUAGUUGGUAAGGUAACGGCUUACCAAGGCACCGGUGGGUAACCGACGUGAGCAGGGGAAGCGCGACAGAGGAGGUGAGAGGCGAUACAGAGACCUAGGGGAGGCAGAGGUAGGGAAGCUAGCGAGAAGGGGGGAAGCCUGACGGAUGAACGGAGGGUGAAUGAUGAAGGGCUGCGGAUCGGAAAACGCUGUUAUGGGUGAAGAACAAAUGUGUAAGUAACGAUGCACGUCGUGACGGUACCUGAUAAGAAAGCCACGGCUAACUACGUG